rnacentral:rRNA from 1 species
UGGGGAAUAUUGCACAAUGGGCGCAAGCCUGAUCCAGCCAUCCCGCGUGUGCGAUGAAGGCCUUCGGGUUGUAAAGCACUUUUGGCAGGAAAGAAACGUCGCGGGUUAAUACCCCGCGAAACUGACGGUACCUGCAGAAUAAGCACCGGCUAACUACGUGCCAGCAGCCGCGGUAAUACGUAGGGUGCAAGCGUUAAUCGGAAUUACUGGGCGUAAAGCGUGCGCAGGCGGUUCGGAAAGAAAGAUGUGAAAUCCCAGAGCUUAACUUUGGAACUGCAUUUUUAACUACCGGGCUAGAGUGUGUCAGAGGGAGGUGGAAUUCCGCGUGUAGCAGUGAAAUGCGUAGAUAUGCGGAGGAACACCGAUGGCGAAGGCAGCCUCCUGGGAUAACACUGACGCUCAUGCACGAAAGCGUGGGGAGCAAACAGGAUUAGAUACCCUGGUAGUCCACGCCCUAAACGAUGUCAACUAGCUGUUGGGGCCUUCGGGCCUUGGUAGCGCAGCUAACGCGUGAAGUUGACCGCCUGGGGAGUACGGUCGCAAGAUU